rnacentral:ncRNA from 1 species
AGUCUUCGGGGCGGGGUGAAAUUCCCCACCGGCGGUGUUUCUGCUUUGUAAAUGUAACAUUUGCAAAGCAGAUGAGCCCGCAAGCCGGAACGGUCCGGCACGACACGGUGAGAUUCCGUGGCCGACGGUCAUAGUCCGGAUGAGAGAAGAU